CUAAAACAGUUGAGAUUACCUGUCCUAAAUGAAUCGCAUACAAAAAAAUGCGAUUCAUGAAAAAUGACAUAAGUGGGCAAAAAUGGACGAAAAGUUAAGGCUAUAGCCUUACUUUUUUGCUGUUUUUGGCCCACUUAUGAAAAAUGACAUAAGUGGCCAAAAAUGGACGAAAAGUUAAGGCUAUAGCCUUACUUUUUUGCUGUUUUUGGCCCACUUAUGAAAAAUGACAUAAGUGGCCAAAAAUGGACGAAAAUUU